UACAGAGGUCCCAAGCGUUGUUCGGACUCAUUGGGCGUAAAGGGUGCGUAGGCGGUGGGGUAAGUUGGAUGUGAAAUCUUGGGGCUUAACCUCAAAAUUGCAUUCAAUACUGCUCCGCUCGAGUUCUGUAGAGGAGAUUGGAAUUUACGGUGUAGCAGUGAAAUGCGUAGAUAUCGUAAGGAACGCCAGUGGCGAAAGCGAAUCUCUGGGCAGCAACUGACGCUGAGGCACGAAGGCCAGGGGAGCAAACGGG
rnacentral:rRNA from 1 species